AUGAUUUAGCUGUAAUUAUAGUAGAACAAGUUGGGAAGCUUGACGAUAGAGGGUGAUAGUCCCGUAUACGAAAUAAUCACAGUGGAACUAAGCAUACGAACAAGUAGGACGGGGCACGUGGAACCUUGUCUGAAUAUGGGGGGACCAUCCUCCAAGGCUAAAUACUCCUGAAUGACCGAUAGUGAACUAGUACCGUGAGGGAAAGGUGAAAAGAACCCUUAUAAAGGGAGUGAAAUAGAAUCUGAAACCGCUUGCAUACAAGCAGUAGGAGCAUGAUUUAGUCAUGUGACUGCGUACCUUUUGUAUAAUGGGUCAGCGAGUUAUUUUUAGUGGCGAGGAUAACUGAAUAAGGGAUCCGUAGCGAAAGCGAGUUUUAAUAGGGCGACUAGUCGCUAGGAG
rnacentral:rRNA from 1 species